rnacentral:rRNA from 1 species
GACGUAGGGCGCGAGCGUUGUCCGGAUUUAUUGGGCGUAAAGAGCUCGUAGGCGGCUCGUUGCGUCGGCUGUGAAAACCCGCAGCUCAACUGUGGGCUUGCAGCCGAUACGGGCGGGCUAGGAUUCGGUGAGGGGAGACUGGAAUUCCUGGUGUAGCGGUGAAAUGCGCAGAUAUCAGGAGGAACACCGAUGGCGAAGGCAGGUCUCUGGGCCAUAACUGACGCUGGAGAAGCGAAAGCAUGGGGAGCGAACAGG